rnacentral:misc_RNA from 1 species
UGGAUUAGUGCUCAACAAGACAACCAAUCAGCUGCUAAGUCAAAGGCAAAAGCAAAAGCAAAAGCACAAGCACCCAUAGAAGCAGAAAGUUCAAGUGAUGAUGGGAGCUUUAUAAAAGACUUCCAAAGUUCAUCAGAGCCAGCAUCGUGCAAAGAGGCUAUGGAGUGGUAUGAUGAAGGGAAUGUGGGAGAAUCAACACAAACAGGUGGCAGAUGCAUAUGGUUAAAAAGAAGGACCUUGUCUUCAACAAACUAGUCUAAUACAGGCAUUACUUUCUCUAGACGGACUAUAAGUAAAAG